AUGGAAGGCCCAGCUCAGCUUCUCUGCCUGCUAGUGUUCUGGCUCCCAGAUACCAUGGGAGACAUUGUGCUGACUCAGUCCCCAGCUUCUUCCCUCUCUCUGUCUCCUGGUGAAAGAGUCUCCCUCACCUGCAAGUCCAGUCAGAGUAUUAGCAAUAACUUACACUGGUAUCAGCAGAAACCUGGGCAGGCCCCCAGGCUCCUCAUCUAUUAUGCAACCAGUAGGGCCAAUGGCAUCCCAGAGCGAUUCAGUGGGAGUGGGUAUGGGACAGACUUCACUCUCACCAUCAGCAGCCUGGAAGCUGAAGAUUUUGGUAUUUAUUACUGUCAACAGAGUAAUACUUACCCUCCCACAAUGUUACAUGCUUGA